AUGUGAUGGUGAGGACAUUUCCUAAACAAUUCAUUGAAGCGUUCCCAUGCCUCAUGGAAAGUUUCUCCCUCCCCAUGUAUGAAUUCCCUAAUUGCGGUUAUCAUAGCAU